GACGAACGCUGGCGGCGUGCUUAACACAUGCAAGUCGAACGGAAAGGCCCUGCUUUUGUGGGGUGCUCGAGUGGCGAACGGGUGAGUAACACGUGAGUAACCUGCCCUUGACUUUGGGAUAACUUCAGGAAACUGGGGCUAAAACCGGAUAGGAGCUCCUGCUGCAUGGUGGGGGUUGGAAAGUUUCGGCGGUUGGGGAUGGACUCGCGGCUUAUCAGCUUGUUGGUGGGGUAGUGGCUUACCAAGGCUUUGACGGGUAGCCGGCCUGAGAGGGUGACCGGACACAUUGGGACUGAGAUACGGCCCAGACUCCUACGGGAGGCAGCAGUGGGGAAUAGUGCACAAUGGGCGGAAGCCUGAUGCAGCAACGCCGCGUGCGGGAUGACGGCCUUCGGGUUGUAAACCGCUGUCGCCUGUGACGAAGCGUGAGUGACGGUAAUGGGUAAAGAAGCACCGGCUAACUACGUG
rnacentral:rRNA from 1 species